rnacentral:rRNA from 1 species
AACGAACGCUGGCGGCAUGCCUAGCACAUGCAAGUCGAACGAGACCUUCGGGUCUAGUGGCGCACGGGUGCGUAACGCGUGGGAACCUGCCCUUAGGUUCGGAAUAACUCCCCGAAAGGGGUGCUAAUACCGGAUAAUGUCUUCGGACCCAAGAUUUAUCGCCUUUGGAUGGGCCCGCGUUGGAUUAGCUAGUUGGUAGGGUAAAAGCCUACCAAGGCGACGAUCCAUAGCUGGUCUGAGAGGAUGAUCAGCCACACUGGGACUGAGACACGGCCCAGACUCCUACGGGAGGCAGCAGUGGGGAAUAUUGGACAAUGGGCGAAAGCCUGAUCCAGCAAUGCCGCGUGAGUGAUGAAGGCCUUAGGGUUGUAAAGCUCUUUUACCCGGGAUGAUAAUGACAGUACCGGGAGAAUAAGCGCCGGCUAACUCCGUG